UCCGGUUUAACACCGGCAGUCUCACUAGAGUGCCCAGCCUAACUGAUGGCAACUAGUGACAGGGGUUGCGCUCGUUGCGGGACUUAACCCAACACCUCACGACACGAGCUGACGACAGCCAUGCAGCACCUGUCUUACGGCUCCCGGCGAGCACAGGAUGUCAAGGCCUGGUAAGGUUCUGCGCGUUGCGUCGAAUUAAACCACAUGCUCCACCGCUUGUGCGGGCCCCCGUCAAUUCCUUUGAGUUUCAGCCUUGCGGCCGUACUCCCCAGGCGGGGCACUUACUGCGUUAGCGACGGCACCGGGAGGGUCGCUCCCCCCGACGCCUAGUGCCCAUCGUUUACGGCGUGGACUAC
rnacentral:misc_RNA from 1 species